rnacentral:rRNA from 1 species
AGUGAACGCUGGCGGCGUGCCUAAUACAUGCAAGUCGAACGGAGUGGCGCGCGGGUGAGUAAUAUAUAGCUAAUCUGCCCCUUGCUGGAGGACAACAGUUAGAAAUGACUGCUAAUACUCCAUAGCAAGGGAUGAGACUAUAUCGUAUCAGCUAGUCGGUGGGGUAACGGCCUACCGAGGCUAUGACGCGUAACUGGUCUGAGAGGAUGAUCAGUGACAUUGGACCUGAGACACGGUACAAACUCGUACGGGAGGCAGCAGUAGGGAAGAUUGCGCAAUGGGGGAAACCCUAACGCAGCAACGCCGCGGGGAGGAUGACACUUUUCGGAGCGUAAACACCUGUUGUUAGGGAAUCGGUACCUAACGAAUAAGCACCGGCUAACUCCGUGCCAGCCGCCGCGGUAAUUC